rnacentral:rRNA from 1 species
UACGUAGGGGGCAAGCGUUGUCCGGAAUCAUUGGGCGUAAAGCGCGCGUAGGCGGCCCGGUAAGUCCGCUCUGAAAGUCCAGGGCUUAACCCUGGAAAGCGGGUGGAUACUGCCGGGCUUGAAUCCGGAAGAGGCGAGUGGAAUUCCUGGUGUAGCGGUGGAAUGCGCAGAUAUCAGGAGGAACACCAAUAGCGAAGGCAGCUCGCUGGGACGGUAUUGACGCUAAGGCGCGAAAGCGUGGGGAGCAAACAGGG